UCAGCGUUUGAGAGAAUGCCUGGCCAUACGGUAUAUUCACACUUAUUUGUUAUCGUAAAGGUAGUUGAAACAACGCCCGAUAUGAAUGAAUGCGCGAUAAAGAGAAAACACAGACGAAUGAGCAAUGUUAGUUGAGCCAUUGAAGCACAGGACAGAAAGCUUAAGAAAAUUUUUAUAUAUUAUUAAGGGAGAAGAAGCAAAAGCCUAAACUCUUCUUCUGCCCUGGCUAAAUUGGAGAGGCCACUGUGAGAAAUCCGAACGUAGGGGCGGAUUGGCU
rnacentral:misc_RNA from 1 species